CCUACGGGCGGCAGCAGUGAGGAAUAUUGGUCAAUGGGCGCGAGCCUGAACCAGCCAAGCCGCGUGAAGGAUGACUGCCCUACGGGUUGUAAACCUCUUUUAUAAAGGAAUAAAGUGAGGCACGUGUCCCUUUUUGUAUGUACUUUAUGAAUAAGGAUCGGCUAACUCCGUGCCAGCAGCCGCGGUAAUACGGAGGUUCCGAGCGUUAUCCGGAUUUAUUGGGUUUAAAGGGAGCGUAGAUGGGUUGUUAAGUCAGUUGUGAAAGGUUGCGGCUCAACCGUCAAAUUGCAAUUGAUACUGGCAGCCUUGAGUACAGGUGAGGUAGGCGGAAUUCGUGGUGUAGCGGUGAAAUGCUUAGAUAUCGCGAAGAACUCCGAUUGCGAAGGCAGCUUACUAGACUGCCACUGACGUUGAGGCACGAAAGUGUGGGUAUCAAACAGGAUUAGAUACCCGGGUAGUC
rnacentral:rRNA from 1 species